GCCUAUUUUUGGCACACGGAGGCCGCUCGCAAAGUCUCGCGCCAUUCCGAGUCCGGCGGACGAAGUUGGCCAGCCCCACCCCCCAAGGCUAUAGCCCACCCGUUUUGUGGCCUUUUUACGCUGGACGAACGUGGCACCCCGGCCUUGGGGCGGUUAUUUUUGGGCACGGCUGUGCCCGCGGCCUAUUUUUUGCACACGGAGGCCGCUUGCAAAGUCUCGCGCCAUUCCGAGUCCGGGGAACGAUGUUGGCCAGCCCCACCCCCCAAGGCUAUAGCCCACCCGUUUUUGUGGCCUUUUUCCGCUGGACGAACUUGGCGCCCCGGCCUUCGGGCGGUUAUUUUUGGGCGCGGCUGUGCCCGCGGCCUAUUUUUGGCACAUGGUGGCCGCUCGCAAAGUCUCGCGCCAUUCCGUGUCCGGCGGACGAAGUUGGCCAGCCCCACCCCCCAAGGCUAUAGCCCACCCGCGUUUGUGGCCUUUUUCCGCUGGACGAACUUGGUGCCCCGGCCUUCGGGUGGUUAGUAUUGGACGCGGCUGUGCCUGCGGCCUAUUUUUGGCACAUGGAGGCCGCUCGCAAAGUCUCGCGCCAUUCCAAGUCCCGGCGGACGAAGUUGGCCAGCCCCACCCCCCAAUGCUAUAGCCCACCCGUUUUUGUCGCCUUUUUACGCUGGACGAACGUGGCACCCCGGCCUUCGGUCGGUUAUUUUUGGACAUGAAUGUGCCCGCGGCCUAUUUUUGGCACACGGAGGCCGUUCGUAAAGUCUCGCGCCAUUCCGAGUCCGGCAGACGAAGUUGGCCAGCCCCACCCCCCAAGGCUAUAGCCCACCCGUUUUUGUGGCCUUUUUCCGCUGGACGAACUUGGCGCCCCGGCCUUCGGGCGGUUAUUUUUGGGUACGGCUGGGCCCACGGCCUAUUUUUAGCAAACGGAGGCCGCUCGCAAAGUCUCGUGCCAUUCCGAGUCCGGCGGACGAAGUUGGCCAGCCCCACCCCCCAAGGCUAUAGCCCACCCGUUUUUGUGGCCUUUUUCUGCUGGACGAACUUGGCGCCCCGGCCUUCGGGUGGUUAUUUUUGGACGCGGCUAUGCCCGCGGCCUAUUUUUGGCACACGGAGGCCGCUCGCAAAGUCUCGCGCCAUUCCGAGUUCGGCGGACGAAGUUGGCCAGCCCCCCCCCCCAAGGCUAUAGCCCACCCGUUUUUGGGGCCUUUUUUCCGCUGGACGAAUGUGGCGCCCCGGCCUUUGGGCGGUUAUUUUUGGACGCGGCUGUGCCCGCGGCCUAUUUUUGGCACACGGAGGCCGCUCGCGAAGUCUCGCGCCAUUCCGGGUCCGGCGGACGAAGUUGGCCAGCCCCACACCCCAAGGCUAUAGCCCACCCGUUUUUGUGGCCUUUUUCCGCUGGACGAACUUGGGGCCCCGGCCUUCGGGCAGUUAUUUUUGGGUGCGGGUGUGCCCGCGGCCUAUUUUUGGCACACAGAGGCCGCUCGCAAAGUCUCUUGCCAUUCCGAGUCCGGCGGACGAAGUUGGCCAGCCCCACCCCCCAAGCCUAUAGCCCACCCGCGUUUGUGGCCUUUUUCCGCUGGACGAACUUGGUGCCCAGGCCUUCGGGUGGUUAUUUUUGGACGCGGCUGUGCCCGCGGCCUAUUUUUGGCACAUGGAGGCCGCUCGCAAAGUCUCACGCCAUUCCAAGUCCGGCGGACGAAGUCGGCCAGCCCCACCCCCCAAUGCUAUAGCCCACCCGUUUUUGUGGCCUUUUUACGCUGGACGAACGUGGCACCCCGGCCUUCGGGCGGUUAUUUUUGGACACGGCUGUGCCCGCGGCCUACUUUGGGCACACGGAGGCCGCUCGUAAAGUCUCGCGCCAUUCCGAGUCCGGCAGACGAAGUUGGCCAGCCCCACCCCCCAAGGCUAUAGCCCACCCCUUUUUGUGGCCUUUUUCCGCUGGACGAACUUGGCGCCCCGGCCUUCGGGCGGUUAUUUUUGGGUGCGGCUGGGCCCACGGCCUAUUUUUAGCAAACGGAGGCCGCUCGCAAAGUCUCGUGCCAUUCCGAGUCCGGCGGACGAAGUUGGCCAGCCCCACCCCCCAAGGCUAUAGCCCACCCGUUUUUGUGGCCUUUUN
rnacentral:lncRNA from 1 species